UCACAAGAUGUGGAAUUAAGAAUAUCAUUUUCUCAGUCCGGACCUGCGUUAUCGAUAAGUCAUUCGGUGCAAAUAUUAGGCAUUAGCCUAUAUACUCAUUCCCCUCAAAUUUUCAUGAAGAUCCAUGCAGGCGUUCAAAAGUUAUGCCGAUUGAAAGUUUUUUGAUAAAAUAAAUAAAACAGCCUGUAUCUUUUAAUCGAAUAUAUUUAGGACAUAUUUCGAACACUGAUUCAGACUCGCCAAAAUGUACAGCAUCUGCCCUGAAAGCCUGUACAAUCAUUCGAGAAACACCCUGUAUAUGUUGAGCAAACUUGCAGAAUGAAAAAUUUCAUGAGAGUCCUUUUCAUCUUAUUAUAUAUGUAUAUAGGAAACAAGUCAAAAUUGUCGAAAGUUGGGACACUGUCGAUAAUUGUGACAUUAACUUCAAUACCAGAAAUAUUUCGAAUGAAUUUAAAAAAAAACAACUGCAGAAAAAAGUUGACCUUAAUUAUUCUUAGUUGAAUUUGUUGGUUUAUUGGUUGCUAUUUUUAACUAUGACGAUCAUGCGAUGCAAUUACAACUGCGUAUUAGAAGUUCUCGAUUCCGGUGAUUCCCCGUUUUAUCGACAUAUCCAAGUAGAAAAGGAACCGCUGUUGUCAGUUUUCUAUUUUACAUAGAGAAAUCCUAUAAUUGUUUUUAUUGUGAGAAUAAAAUUUAUGCACUAUUGUAGAUUAUUCAGUAUGAACAGGUGUAAAAUUGGUGUCUUGAAUUUGUAUUUAAUCAGUUCGAAAUAUUAAAAUUGACCUCUUGUAAAGGUCUUGAAACUAUUAAGUAAUGAGUAAUAAUAACCCACGGUUACUGAUUUUCGAAGAAAUCUAGGCACAUAUAAAAUGUUGCCCGAAUAGGUAUAAAUUACUAUAUACAUUUCUAUUUAUAAGAUUCAAGCCUCACUUGAUGGAAAUUCAUAUUAAUGGAUAGAAAUAAAUAUAAACACUUUUUAAUUUCCACAGAUUUUUCAUUAAUUCAACAAUUGUUUCGCUGUCUAAGCGGCUUUAUUAAGAAAAUAGGUCACAUCGCAAAGUGCGAAAAGUGCGAUUCUAUCAAAUCUACAUUUCUAAACGUUCUACCUAAUGUUUUAUAAGAUGGUUACCUAAUUGAUAUAUCUUGUGUUUCUAAUGAAAAAGAUUGAAAAUAUGAUUAUCUAAUAUAUCAUUUAUUGAAUGAGAUUUUUUUUUAAUAGUAUUUCGAUUCAAGCAUUAUUAAUUCACUUAUAUUGGAGGAGACUCUUUGGAUAUGUAAGUCAUAUCAUGAUGGAUCUUACUGAGAGAUCUAAUUUUAGGGUUGUCGAUUCACAAUGCUGAGUUUUGGGUUGCUAUAUCUAAAAAGACGACGAAUAAAAAUUUAAAUAAUUAUUUUCAAGAAGACUAGAAAAUAAUAGUAAAAGAUUAAAUCUAUUAAAUUCUGAAUAAAAAAAGGUCUACACAGAAAAAUUUCUUAAUUAUCAUAUCUGAAUAUAUGUAUUAUUAUUUAUUUGUUGUGGUUAGCAUAAAUAAUAAGGCACUCUCCCAAUAUAUCGUUAAAAAAAAACUGAAGAUAUCCAUUCCAUUUUCAGUUUUUAUCGCUAAUGGAUUCGUAAUUAUGUGAAAAAUAUAUACCUAAAUGGUGAUUUUUGUGAAAUUCUAACAACCAAUUCUUACUUAAUUUGAAAAACAAAUCCCUUUCUGAUCAGGUGCCUCAAACUUGGCAACAAUGCUUACCCAUAUCGAAACCCUUAUAUAUAGCGGUUCGUCAGGUUUUUGCAUUCACUAUUCAAGUAUCGUUCGAUUCGAACUUGCAUUUUAGAUAGUUGCAGAAGUUAUAUAGUUUUUGGGAAUCCAAAAUGGUUCUUCUCACGUAUGGUAUUUGCCAAGCGGCUUGUGCAGGUCUUGUGGUUGCAUGUUUCGGCGCAGCCGGAUUUACAUUUGGAACAGUACCAGGUGCAAUAAUUGCUGCUACUCCUGCUUUGGCCGCCUGUAAUGCGGCAUUUGCAUCUUGUAGUGCAGCCUGUUCUCCACUCAUAUUGUCUCCCAUUUAAUUAUGGAAUCUUUUGCAAAUGAGAUUCCUUGUGUAUUAACUUUAUAUUCAUAAUAUAUUGAAAAUAAAGAUAUAUAUGAAUAUA